GGACGUGAGGGCGAUCUGGCUGCGACACCUGUCACCCCAUUGAUCGCCAGGGUUGAUUCAGCUAUCUGGCAGGCUAGGCGGGUGUCCCCUUCCUCCCUCAGUGAUCUACAUGUGUCCCUCCCGAAGCUGCAUGGUUGGCUGAAGGGAAAGACCACCCCGAUAGAGGAGGACCAUUCUUCGGUCAAGGGUAUAUAAGUAGCUGCACUCCCCUGCCAGAACCUCCAAACAAGCUCUCAAGAGAGAUUAUGAGAGACCCUAGUUCCUGAAUCUUAGUUACUUGAAAUGUCUUC
ensembl:misc_RNA 7SK 7SK RNA